UUUCGCUUGAGCUAUAGUCCAAUAAUACUUGAACAAAAAUGCCGAUCGCGUUCCCCCGGAUCACCCUUCAGCACUAUACCGCUGUCUGCAUAACUGCCAUACUUGUUCUCAAUGCCAAGGAUCCAAUAAAGGAUUGCUGGAACAGAAAGUUUGGUGCUCGUUCUUCAUCACAUGCCAAUGCUAUUAGUUCUGCUGCCGUUGUUGCCGAUACUGGUGCUGCAGCCGCCACUACUGCUAACAGCUGAUUUGAUUGCUGCCAUUUAUGGGGAGCAGAAGUACUGUUUCUAUAGUUUACGUUCUUUCUAAGAACUAUUUAGGAUUUAGUAUCUAGGAAUUUUAAUCAUUUGUAGUUUUUGACUUGUGUUUUUCGAUAUGCUGCUUUUGUUGGGAUCUUAAUAGAGAAACAAUUGGUUCGUGUAAUUUUAUGA